CAUUUAGAAUAUGUACUCCACGUGUUUGACAAAAAGUCUCACUCAAAAUUGAAACUUACUGCUUAAAAUUGAAACUUACCAAACAACACCAUUUGAAAUCCCAACCAAGUUAGUUGUGACUUGCACCCAAGUUGUUUCGAGGGCUAUGGUUAUAUCAUAGGAAAAGCAGGUAAAGAUUCCAGAAUCUUUAAUUGUUUUCAUUUGAGUUUUGGGUGAGAAUUUUAGCUAAAGGCUCGCUUCACUUCUUCAAAAUCCGCCCUUUACUUUAAAAUAAACUCAGCCCGAGUCCCCAAAAAACUCAGCCAGACGAGAAAAUUCAGCAUGUUUCUGAAACAUGCAAUACUCUCUCUAGCCAGAUGCUCUACCCCUCUCCCUCUUUUAGACGCAAGCUCUGCCCCUAUUCCUCUCACUCAUCUGUUUCUGCCUCCGCUCCUCUAACCACUGUGCCAAGAGGGAGAGUUGUGAAACCAAGAGAUAGUUAUGUUGAAGACACUAGAAGAACAAAUGUAUUUCCAUAGUUUCAGAAUGAACAUGAGGUAGAUGUGAAAAACACACCAGUAGUUUCGCUGCCCAAGAAGAAUCAUGAUUCAGUCAUGAGCCGCAUUGAUAUGGAGUUCUUGCCACCAUGACUUCCUCCAUUUUAUCCUUUCGAGAUGGUCUUUGUGGAACCGAUGGUACCUUUUAAAGUAACUACAAGUAUACAUCCUUCAAAGAGUCCGAAUGCAAGUUCUGCAAAAGUUCACUGUUGUGUUGCUUUAGCAGUAUACAGUUAGCUUUUCUCAUGAAAAUUUUAUUGUUGAAGGUAUGCUUGCUAGUGUUUAUAAGGGUAAGCUGCCCGAUUGAAAGGUAAGAUUCUUUUAACUUAAUAAGAACUAAUUUGCCAGGAUGAUGGCGUGGCUAUUUGAUUGUGUGGCUUCUACUUCAAAAUGCCUCAUGUACAUUUGUAUUUGUUGUCUUUUUUUUCCCCUUCAUCUUCUCUAUCCUCAUUAGGAGUAGGAGAGUAGUCGAGAAAGAGCCACAGACAAAUAAGAAAAUGCAUUAGUGAAGUUUAGAAGAAUGCAAAAAUUGUCAAUAUCCUUAUGCUUCAAGAAAUUUAUGGAAAAGGAUUGUGCUAAAAAGCAUCAACCAAAUGUACAUGGCUUAGGAAAAGAGUAGGUAGCUGUAGAUUUCUCUGUGAGAUUUCACAAAUUUAACUUUGAUUUAGUGCCACCACCUUUUAGUUUUUUAUGGGGCAGUACAGUGAUUGGUAUUCAUAAAACUCUACAAUUUAACUUUUUAAGAGUUUUUUUUUUUUUUUCCUACCUCAACAAAUAUCUUUUGUGCGGUUUUUGUAUGUAUUCUUGAAAUUAGUUGUCCUCUGUGUAGUUUAAUUUGGAUAGCUAUAAUAAGAAUCCUAUAAUCAUGACAACAUGUAGUUUGUAUAAUUGAGGUUUUUUGUAUUUUCUUCAUUUGACCAUAUUUAAUGCAUAAACACACCUUCAAUUUUAAGGGAGUUUCUCAUCAUUUAAAAAUAAUAAUAAUAAUUAAGAAAAAUAAAAAUAAAUGGGAAGUUUUUUUCCUUUUUCUUUUUUUCCUUUUCAUUUUCUUUUUAAAAAGGCAAUUUAUUUAAUUUUAAUUAUCUAUGGAGUUGUCAUAAUAUUUUUAUGAUUUUACAUAUUUUUCCUUGAAUAAUAAAUAAAAGUAGUCCGUGUAUUGCCAGGUCAUACGCUAGUCUAAUGCUAUAAAUAAAAGUCUAACACUCUAUAUAUAUAAUAUUUUAAAAUUCUGUCACAUAUAAGUUAAAAAACAGUAAACUAUGUUGGUUGGCAAUCUACACACCAUUUAAAAGCCUCUCAUUAUAAAUAACCCAAAAAAAAAGGGGGUUAAAGGAUACACGGAAAUAGAAAUAUAGUGUGUGUUUGGGCUCUGCGACUGUGUGUCCGCGUUUUUCAGUUCACGUUUUCUACCUUUUUUUUUUUUUUUGGUUGCCCGCAUUUGUUGACUUUGGGAGACAACAUUUACUGUUAUGAACCGUGUAUGCACUGUUUACGCACUGUGCAUACACUGUUCAUGUAUUAAAAAAUAUUAAAAAUAGGUCUCACAGUAUUAUUUACACAUUUAAAAAUUAUUUUGCUAUAGUGUUUUCAGUUUUCAGUUUUCAGUUUUCAGUUUCAGUAACAAUAAGUUCAAUCCAAACGGACCCAUAGAGGCGAUGAAAGAGAGAGAGAGGCGACGAGGAAAUGGGAAAAGAAGCAGAGAAGGAGAAAAAAGAAAAAGAAAAAAAAGCUUGCGAUACGGAGAUGAGAAGGAGACAAAGUUCAUAUGGCCAGCCAGCUAUCACCAUCAUUUUCCCACCUCCGUUCGUCCCUUGCCGGACUUAGGCUACUGGAACCGGCACCGGUAACCUAAAGGUGCACGCAAGAUUUGAGAUACGGACAUAGAGAGAGAACUAUCAUUGGGUAUUCAUAAUUGGCUUUGGACAAUCAAGUUUUAGAGGCCAAAAGUCCAAGAACAGUAGAGAGAGAGUCGAUUAGACACAGGGUGCAGAGAGAUCGACCAAUUGGAGAUUUUUUUUGGAAGAAGAGGAAGAAUAAUCAUUAGACUGUUAAGUUAAUGCACCAUGGAUUCAGAGAGGGGCGCCACCACAAGUUUUGUCAUCACCGUGAAAAUAUGUUGAAGAAGUUAAUGGUGGUCAUUGCAAUGGAAUGAUUGGGGAGAGUUGCAGACUAUGGCUUGGACUUCAGGAGGUUCACUCUUUAUUUCUCAAGGGACUAAUUGAAUUCAUGUUUGAGUAAAGCAAAUGACACAGAAAUUUUUACUGCAAUGCGUAGAGAAUUUGGCAACCAAAAAUCAACAAUGGACUGAAAUUACAGAGCAUCCACUAUGGUCCAUGGAGCAUCUCACUGUGGGCACAAGAAUACUUGAUUGAGUACAUUGGAUUAAGAAACAUAGCAAAUUGAUUUAUGCUUCUUCUUUUUUUUUGGUUUAGUUUCCGUGAAAGCCAAUAAAAUACAGAGUAAUUGGAUGCGAUGUAGAUGUAGGGAAAUCAUAUUGAUGGUAAAGUUAUGUUAUUUUAUAUUUAUUUUGUUACAAUUUUAAUUAUUCCUCACUACUAGAAUUUUGUCUAUUUGAUUUCUUAACUAAUUAGAUAUGCUCUCUAUUUGUUCUUUAUUCUAGAUUUGUUCUUCUUCUUUUUUCUUGCAAUAAUGUAGAGUACA